AGAGGGGCCCUGCGGUGCUGGAGGGGCGCUCGCUCCCCCAGCCUCUUUGCUGACGCCCGGCUGAUGAUGUUUGGAUAACUCACCGCAAAGUAAAUGCUACCCUGGGUGCUCUUUACACUCCCUGAUAAUUAUUCAGAGGAGGAGGACGAGAAUGAUGUACAUUCAGAUCAUUUGACUGAGGGCAGGAGAUAUCUGCUCUCCAAAUGUGCAGAAUGCAAAUAGUUCUUUUCAGCAGGUAUGCUCAGAAUUCUGCUGAGAGUUAUUUUAAGUGAUUGACAGGUUAUUACUCACUUAAUAACCUACUUACUCUCAUCAGCAUCAUUUGAACUGACGGUUUGAGAGAAACGGACCUGGUAGAAGUAACGUGGAAUAAUGAAGUAAGAUGUUGUUUGUAUAACGUGCAGCGCAGUUUCUAAUAGUCUUCUGGAUCACUCAGGGCCCGCCAAGCCGUGGAAUUUCAAGCAGGAGCCUAGUGUGUGCGGUUGAAAAGGGGCCCCACCUAGCUCUUCAACCUGCGUGUGGUUCUGUUUUAAAGAAAUACCAUGUGACAUGUUUUGUGACCAUUAGAUGUCACUCUAAUUCUGUGUAUGUACACCUAAAGAUCAUCUGGCGAUAGCAGUGAAGAUUUUCAGAGGCGUGAGCAGUUAAAGGCACUCUGCCUCUGACGUACCUCUGCGGUCAGUGACUCUAAUGAAACAGCACAGAUCACACUUCCUUCAUAAUUAUUUACAUGUACUGGUUAAGGGGUACUCUAAGUGAGGUCCCUAUUAGGAGGCUUUCCAUCUUUUUGGCAGGUGUUCUUUUGAGUCAUUUUAGUGACAUAUGUCAGGAGUUUGGUUUCGAAGGGUCCGUGUGGCUAAGGCGCCCCCUUGACAUGUCUUCUAAUUUAAGUAGGAUUUUGAAUAACACGUUACAAAAUCUUAGACUGACUUUCCCUGUUUGUUUCCACUAUUAGCUGGAUUUAGUGUCUUUUCAUAUUAUAAAUAGGUAAGAUUGCUAUUGUUUGAAAACACAGUUUUUAUUUUGGCAUUUAUUUCUUCAAAUGCUAUUAUAUUAUUACAGCAAGUGGCACCUGUGUUAUUGACGCAUACAGCACCUAGAAGUUAGCCCCGCUUGUUACUAACGCAUAAAGCUGUAAUUAUUAUAACAGAUUGCUGUGGUAUUAAUGUAUGGAUUGAAAGCUGCAUGGAAAAGAUCAGAAGCAAACUAAAAAAGAAGUCAGAGUUCACAAUAUGAUACAGUUUUGACAUCUCAAAUAAGUGGGGAAAGAGUGAAUUAGCUAGAAAAUGAUGUCAGGCCCAUUGCCAAAGCAUUCAGGAAAAUAAAAUUUAAAUCCUUAUCUCAAUCUUUAUUCCAAAAUAAGUUGUGGAUUGAUUAAAUGUCACAAUGUAAAAAAAAUUUUUUUUUAAAUAAAAUGUAGCUUAGUAAUUUCAUAAUUAUGGGGAGAAGAGCUCUCCAAGCAUGACUUUGAAGGCAGAGCCAUAAAUCGGGGCAAAAUGAUAUAUUUGACCACGUAAAAACUAAAAAUUGUAAACAGAGUUAAAGCAGAAGCACCAAACUAUGAAAAAAAUACUUUGUAUAUGACAAAAAAGUUAUUAGCCUGAAUUGAUAAAAGCUCUUAUAAUUAGCUUGAAAAAGAUAAGAAAUCCUACUGGUGGAAGAAAUAGCUAACAUAUGAAAAAUAGUUCAGCCUUAUUAGUCCUGAGAGAGAGAGAUACAUGAUGAUAGAUGCUAUUUUAUGUAGUAAUAGUAAUCUAGUGGUUAAGAAUUAGAGACUGGAGCCAGAGUGCUUGGGUUUACAACCUCAUUCUGCCACUUACUGGCUGGGUGACCUUGGACAAGUACCAAUUUGUUAUUUAUUAUUUCUUUUAAACAUUAAAAAACAUUUAAAAAAAAUAUUUAUUUUUGAGAAAUAGAGCACGAGCAGGGGAGGGGCAGAGAGAGAGGGAGACACAGAAUCCGAAGCUGGCUCCAGGCUCCAAGCUGUCAGCAUACAGCCUGACAUGGGGCUCGAACCUAUGAACCGUGAAAUCAUGACCCGAGCCAGAGUCGGCCGCUUAACCAACUGAGCUGCCCAGGCGCCCUGACAAGUAGUGGUUUCAAGACUAGCAGACAUGAAGAAAAGUGGUAGUAUCCAAGAGAAUGUUGGGAAGUGGAUACUCUUUUGUACUACUCUUGGGAAUGUAUAUUACCUCUAACUUCCUGUAGGUCAGUUUGGCCAAUGAGACUUUCUCGCUCCUUAACUUUGUCUUGUAUCUGUUACCAGGCCAACAGGAGUACGCUUCCUCAAACUCUGUGACUCCCCGGAGGUUGAGGUGUGCCUUCAGAGGGGUGGCAGGGGUUCUCUCCCCUUCCCUGUUUGUGAAAUCACUGGUGUAGAGCUUUCUUUAUUGAAUGGAAAUAGAAUAUAUUGUGUGAUACCAUUACUGUUUAAAAUAUAUGUUUACACAUCUGUAUGUGUAUAUGGAGAAAAGAUCAUGUAACAAAAUUUUAGAAAUGGUUCUUUGGGUGGUGGCACUUUAAACAAUUGAUUUUUUUUUCCUCUCCAUAUUGUCUAAUUGUUCUUGUAGUGGAAAAUUUUUAUACAGUUCACAUAUACUUAAUUUGUAAAUUAAGGAACCAAUUUUAAAGAAUAGACUCCUGAAAAUUGGUUUGAGUGAGGGCUCUGCAUUUCACUUAUUUUGUGACCUUUGGGAAGCCAUUUAGUGUUUUUGAAUGUUCUGAUCUCUAUAACACAAAACAGAACCAAUUAGACCUGUGUCAGACUGUUGUCUUAAGAGUUGAAUGAAAAAAAUACAUGAAAGCAUCUGGAACGAUGUCCGUAGAGACCCUCAGAAAUACUUAUUUGGAAACCAUUUUGGAGAAGGCAGUUGGCAAAUGUGAAUUGUUGGUUUAAUUGUCUUUAAUCUCAGACUCCUGUAUGGGCACCUGGGUGGCUCAGUUAAGUGUCCGACUCCGGCUCAGAUCAUGAUCUCACAGUUUGUGAGUUCGAGCCCCACGUCAGGCUCUGUGCUAACAGCUCGGAACCUGGAGCCUGCUUUGGAUUCUGUGUCUCCCUUUCUCUCUGCCCCUCCCCUGCACAAGCUCGCUCGCGCGUGCGCACGCUUUCUCUCUCUCUCUCUGUUUCUCUCAAAAAGUGAAUAAAUAAACAUUAAGAAAAAUUAAAAAAAACUUUCAGACUCAUGUAAUGAACCACCUGUGAAGGUAAGCAUCAAAUCCAUCUUUUUGUCAUUCCUGUUUUAAAGCCAUGGGUCUUUGGCGAGAAUCAGAUCCUUUCCACGAGUCCCAGGGUGGUACAAGAACCUUGCAAGCCCCUAGCCCUGCUCAGGGGUGACGCUAGUCCCGGCCUGAGUGGCUCUCCUGUCCCACGCAUCCCUCCGUGUUGCCUGGGGCCGUGUAGCUGUACCCUGGAGAAGCUUCAUUUAACACCUAGGGAAGGACGCGACGGGCCCUGGAGACCAACCAAAAAUUCUAAGUGGGAGUAGAGUUGUAAAAACGACCCUUGAAGUGUGCGACUUUUCUGGGGAAUUGCCCCUCCCUCAGUGCUGUGUCUGGUUCGGUUUUUAAGAGGUUUAAGGGAAAAACUCGACGUCGUCCCUCUCCCUUUGUACCACUUGAUCUUGCUGUAGAGCUGUCACUCUGCCAUCACAGCCAGUUGCCAUGGGAAUAAUGCCAAUGUAACAAAUUUAUCAUUAUGACUUCUCUGCAGAAUUCAUGAAAGGGAAAGAAGGACUGUGUGUGUGGAGGGGAAAUGAGGGGAACAAACUUGUUUGAAGAUCUCUUUUCUCACGGAGAAAUUCUCCAGUUCCUGCUCCGACCUUUUAUCUGCAUCGCAGAUCCCAAUUGUAUAUUCUGCGCCUGACGUCAGGGCAAAUUUUCGCUUGCGGACUCAGAGCUAAAAGACAGAAGUAAAAAGAUUUCCUUUUUGGAAGGAAGAAGAAAGCUUGGCUCAGAACUGUUAUUUGUAAUUGAGAGAUUUUUACCUUGUUAUUAAUGAUUGUGGUUUUGUGCACUGAUUCCCCUAAGUGGUAGAUUUGCAUGUAAGUAUUUUGGGGGGUAUCUCUUUCCUUUUGCAACACUCUGCCACUAUUAUCUUUUGAGUCUUCUUUCCUUAGGAAAGAAAUGGUGGCAGGGUAACUCUUUUCAACCAGUUGUGUUUUGCUGGAAAUAUUUUAAGACAAGAUACAGUGGGCCAAACCAGAAGUGCUGAUCUGAGGGAAGAGCUUGCGUAAAACCAGAUCCUGGGAUCCUUCCAAAGCUCCCUUGUGGUCUGUUUUCCUCCUGCGUGUCAACUCUUGGUGCCUGCCCACGACGAGAUCCCUGACUCUGUGCCCAGCACCUUCUGAUGACCUCACACGUACAGCUGAUAUUGUGGGAUUCUUUGGCUUCCAUUCCUUUAUCAGGCUCGUGUUUGAUUUGUGUUUCCUGAAGGUUUGGGUCCCUUUCCCAUUCUCUUCUGGGUAGUAAUAUCUUCGGGCAGAUGUGCUCUCCUCCCUUGACAGCGCGGGAAGGGGGCUGUUCUGUACUUUAAACAUCAACACAGUGGUAGUCUGGUACUCAGGGAAGUAGGUGCUAGACCCAGGAAAUUGGGCUUCCAGAGCAAGAGGUCUGGACUGUUUCCUUUCUACCUUCCCCUCACCAUUGUGGACAUCACAGGCCUGUGUCCAGUCUGUCAAAGGUCAGAUUUCUUUUACUAUUCAUUUUCUUCAAACUGUAGCUUGAAACCCUCUCUGCCAGCUGAUCUCAGGAACACCAGACGCUUGAAGCAAACAUAAAAUAAAAACCACUGUGUUUGGGAACUUUCUGCCUGAUCCCUUUGGUGCAAAGUUAGAAACAUAAGUCAGCUGUGAGCACAGUUUUGAAUGAUUUGUACAUUGGGAUUUUGUGAACCUUGCAAGGGUAAGAUGUAUUCCUGGGCCAGGAGAGAGGGCAGAACUUUGUCCUUUUGGUCUCAAAUUGCCGCAGAAACCAAACCUCGCUCUUCGCGUAUUGUGUGUGUGUGUGUGUGUGUGUGUGUGUGUGUGUACGUGUGUCCAUAAUCUGCAAUUAUUAUCACAUUACAGACUGCCUUGAUCAUUAUCUGUCCCACAGAGUCAGCGCACAGGUCUCUGUCUCUCUUCUCAGACAACAGUUCCUGUGCCUUAUGCUACAUUGGUGCUGACUAGUACAGGCUAGGGAGUUUGAAACUGCAAUAAAUCCUUGUCGAUGGGUGAGUUUUUUGAAAUAAGCUAGUUAAGGAGUUUAAGCAGAUUGCCUUGAAUUUUCCUUGAGAUUUCACAUUUAAAAUUGGUUUUUCUUACAUCCUUUUAUAUAAAGUCAUUAUUAUUUUCCUUUUAAAGGUGAACGUAUAUGGUGUCUGACCUGUUUAGACACAUGGUAUACAAUUAUUCAUUUCAUUUUCAAAGUUUGAAUGUCCUGGCUUAUGUUCAUUUCAGCAAACUUGAAAGUCUGCAUUAAAAUGGUGCGUGGUAUUUGAAGGAUUCUUACUUGAUAUCAUUUGAUAGUAAGACAAAGGAUGAACUGGCAAUGUAUUUAUUGGAUUUUAGAUUUUACAUUCAUUUCAGAUCCACUUGCCAAGGCGCUCUGCACCCUGUCGCCUACAGCACAUUUAAUUUAAAAUCAGGUGCCCUGGGGGACUGGCACACAGUAGCCUUCCCGAGGGUUCUUCUGAGCCAUUUUAAAUAGAAUUGGAGAAGCAAGAAUUUAAGGGAUGAUGGUGCGAAAGAGUGAUUAUGGAGAGGUCUUGAAAAUCUUUUGUAAUUUGUUUUCAUUUUAAAUUCACAAGUAAAUUUGCAUCAUCAAUACAGGAAAUCGUUGUCUCAAACAUUUUCAACAGAAUUUUAUAGAUUUUAAAAAACAUUCCAUUUUGUUUGAGGACCACAUUACUAAAGUUUACAAUACGUCUUAAGUCUUACUUUUUAAUGUUCCGAGUAACCUGCUUUGAAUUUGUGUCUUGUUUUCCAGUUUUUUAAGGGUGUCAGUUUUACCAGCCUGAAGUUUUUGAGUGUAAUCCAUUUGUCAGUCUUGGUUUUUUUUUGUUUUUUUUUUUUUUGAGGAAAAGUAUUCAUCUGGAAAUAAAAUCUUGAUCUUAGGAGGAUCUCAUUUUGAGCCUGUAUUAUGGGAGAAGGCAUAAAUACUUUAGAUAAAUAAUGAGUUGAUCUGUAAGUUAAUUAAACCCGAGCAAACCUGCAUGUCAGAACAAAAACGCUUCGUCAGUGUUUUCUUUACAUCCGCUUAUUCUGAACCUGUUACUGCGGUACUGAGGAACCAUACGAUGCAUCCCUUUUUCAAAAGGGGUACAGAUAAAUGUCAGCUGCAGUAAGUGAAAACCGUGAUUACAGUUAGUGUGUAUUGAGCAAAGUGCUGUGUGGGCAAAGCACUGUGUAAAGUUCUGUAUGUAAAUAGCACAUCCUAGAUAACACUUUGCAUUGUGAUUAUUAAGAACAGGGUGCCUUUUGCCCAUUCUCCAUUUGAAGAACGCUUAGCAUCGCUUGUAAAUGAUACAGGUCUACCUUUGGGCUUGCUUCACUUCAAAAAAGGAAACCCCGGGAGCUUUUUAUAGAAAGGACAGACCCCAAAACAUCUUCUCUUUGAAUACUGAAUUUUCUGAAGCCCCCUUGUCAACAGUUUACUGAUUCCAAGUGCGGGGCCUCUUAGCCAUUCUUUUAAAGGCUGUUUUCUUGUAAAAUGUAGCUGUACGUGAGCUUCUGGUUUGCCUGGGCUGCAUUUGUUUACAGCCCCUCCUCACCGAUUCUCAGUUUCUCUCUGCCCACCUCCUCCCCACCCCCAGGCUCAUUGUGCCGAGAUUGUAAUCUGAUUUUCAUCAAGAUUCAUCUUCACUUAAUCUUGAAGAUGCAAUGAGACUGGAAUGAGGAUCUGAGACUAUGGGUGUCUUUAUUUUCUUCUUUCCACAUUUCUGUGUUUUCUGUAAUGAGCACGGGCAACUCAUGAUUGAGAAACAAUAAAUUUAAUAUUCUUAAGACCAGCAUUUUUUUUUUUUAACUGAAGUGCUGUGCCAAGCUCCUUAAUUUCAUUCUUUUGUGGUAAAUUCUAGCGAUGAGAUGAGUUUGGUAAACUAAGAGACCCAGGGGUGGUAAUCCUUGGCAUCUUUCCCUAUUAUCCUAUUUAUUUGGCUUGAAGAGUUUUACUUGUCUGUUUUUAGAGGAUAUGUUAAUUGAGUGAUCAGUAUUCAUUACAAAUAAUCUUGUCUGUUUUCUUGUCGAGAUUCUGAAGGCCCUUUUGCUCUUUCUGUAAAAGCUAAGCAGACUGUAUUAACUUCUGGUUUAAUUUAAAAAACGAAUGUGGAACUUGUUGGCACACACCUUAAAGAAUUGCAUGUUUAAUAAUUGGAAGGCUUUCCAUCAGAUUUGUCUCCAGUCUGAAUUAAUAAUGUUGCUGACUUAUUGUUUUAGAAGACGGAGUCCUUGACCUGCUGGGUUGAAAGAAUGUGACUGCUUUGCCCCUCUGUGGGUCCUUUAGCUGUGCUAUAUCCCCUGUGAAUAAUUAGAGGUGUUUGAAGGUAUUGCGGUAGAAGCCAAUUUGUGUCUUUCACUUUGCAUAUUGUUGAAGCCUCAUGAAUUAGUCAUAAGCAGGCAAAAAAUUAACUUCUUCAGACACAUAUUUUGAUGGGUCAUGAGGGAGAAUGUAAAGUGAUCUGUAAAGUAUUCUACUGAUCCUCUAAGUAUUAAAUUAUUAUACCUACAGGCUAAUUUCAGAGAGAGAAAAAAAGAGCAUUCUUCCUCCGCCUUCAGUAACUGAGCAGCAGAUUUGGGGAAAAAAAAAUAAACGUUAAUUUUCUGGGACUGUUAAGAGGUCUAUAACAUGAACAAUUUUAUGGUUUCCUGGACACCAGAGUCUUGUACGAAUUCUUGUUUUUAAUUGUUUUCUUGUGUAUUUUUCUUUUUAAUUUUAAAUUAUUCGAGUCCAGAAUUCUUACAACCAAUACUUCUUGUUGAUUUGAUGAAAUGUGAAACCAAACAAGUAGCUCAUUUUUCUCACUUUCGACGUCUGAAACACUGAAUCAGAGUAAUAUGGAUUUCAAUACUUGCUUAAAAAUCUAGUUUUACAUUAACAUUUUUUUUCCAUUGUCUUUUUUUUUUUUU